UCCCUGGUGGCUCAGAUGGUAAAGAAUCUGCCUGCAAUGCAGGAGACCCAGGUUCGAUCCUGGGUCAGGAAG
rnacentral:tRNA from 1 species